UGUGCACACUUGCAUGACACACUACUAAAAGUGAAACAAUACAGAGAAGAUUAGCAUGAGCCCUGCACAAGGGUGACAAGAAAAUAUAUGAAGUGUUCCAUGGGGGU